rnacentral:misc_RNA from 1 species
GCGGUACAAGCACGCUCUCGAGGUCUGGUUGCCUGUGACCUUUCUUUUAAGUUAAAUUACUGCCAGUUUAUUUAUACCCGUAAACCUGAUUAAGGGGGCCAAUUUUCCACUGAUUUAGGUGUGGGAUUUGAAUCAUUAACGUUCAUGGGAAUUAGAACUUGUGGAUUAAACAUUAGACAGUUUUAGGAGAUUUAAAUAGCUGCAGGAUAUUUAAGUUUUAGGUAACUUUUGCUGGGUUUUUCUUCUAUACAAAAGUGUUUUGAACUCUGAUGCUGAGGACUUCAGUUUUAGUCCCAUCUUUGUAAUCUAAUCUAGAAUUUUACAAGUUUGUCAAUUCUCGUGUUUGGAAUAAAACUUUUAAAAAAAAUCAUGUUAAAAGAAAUAGAAAUCAAGCA